UACGAAGGGGGCUAGCGUUGUUCGGAAUUACUGGGCGUAAAGCGCACGUAGGCGGACUGAUAAGUCAGGGGUGAAAUCCCGGGGCUCAACCCCGGAACUGCCUUUGAUACUGUCAGUCUAGAGUUCGAGAGAGGUGAGUGGAAUUCCGAGUGUAGAGGUGAAAUUCGUAGAUAUUCGGAGGAACACCAGUGGCGAAGGCGGCUCACUGGCUCGAUACUGACGCUGAGGUGCGAAAGCGUGGGGAGCAAACAGGAUUAGAUACCCCAGUAGUCC
rnacentral:rRNA from 1 species